UUGACUCUACUUAUUUUUUUUCUCAUUGAAUUACUUCGAAUGCUACAGAAUGGGGAGCACUGACAGAACCAAUUAUGGCACUUACACUUAUGAGAAUAUGGAGAGGGAGCCAUACUGGCCAUCAGAGAAGCUCCGAAUUUCUAUUACUGGAGCUAGUGGCUUCAUUGCUUCCCACAUUGCCAGAAGGUUGAAGAAUGAAGACAUUAUAUCAUCGCUUCUGUCAAUUGAGGUUGAUUGUGUUCUUGAUUGUGGAAUUUAAGAAACUCUGAUAGGCCAUACACCCUUCAUUCUGAAUCUUAAUGGAAUAGGAGGUGGUGGAACCCUCUCCUCUGAAUGAACAGCAGAGGUGAGCUUGCUCACACGCCGCCGCCUCCUAUGUCCCAUUUAUGUAGGUGUGGCAGAGGCUGUUUGACGAGCAAUUAAUAGGUGAUCCCAGCAAAGCAUUGGAGCAGUUGAGGCUGCUAUUGAGCUGAUUUCCAUGGCUGUUGAAAUCCGUGGUAACGUAGUUAUUACCAGCGAAGCUGUCGAUAACAAUGGAGAGAAAAAGAGGUAUGAAAUGAGCGAAGCUGUCGAUAACGAUGGAGAGAAAAAGAGGUCGAAUGUCACAGUGAUCUUCCCGUUCUGGAACAAAUUGAUUAAUUUCCAGAGCCAAUAUCACAAUGACACAUAGAUAGGGAGAGUCAAAGAGCAUAAGAGGUUGUUAAGAGUCUGAUAUCUUCAGAGUUCCGCUUCGGUAGAGGGUGAUGCAUUGGCGAUUCUAGGAAUUUGGUUUUUUUGCAAGAAAGUAGAACGAUAUAGUGCUCAACCAGGUGGCUUGAGCCUAUCAAUAGUAGUCAGUGUAGUGCUCCAUGGUGCUUUUCACCGUUGUCAGGAUGUCAUUUGCCACGCUCGGCCAUUAAUGGUUUUUUUUCCUUUGAAAGCCAAGAGAGAAAGGGGAAUGGGAAAAGAAAUUUUUGUUCGAUUUAUAAUGCAAUAUUACAUUUUUAUUUAUUUUUGUUAUUUGAUGGAUUAUUAUAUUACAGAAUUCAAUACAAUGUCGAUUUUGAUGA